GAGUUAGUGGCGGACGGGUGAGUAACACGUGGGAACGUGCCUUUAGGUUCGGAAUAACUCAGGGAAACUUGUGCUAAUACCGAAUGUGCCCUUCGGGGGAAAGAUUUAUCGCCUUUAGAGCGGCCCGCGUCUGAUUAGCUAGUUGGUGAGGUAAAGGCUCACCAAGGCGACGAUCAGUAGCUGGUCUGAGAGGAUGAUCAGCCACAUUGGGACUGAGACACGGCCCAAACUCCUACGGGAGGCAGCAGUGGGGAAUCUUGCGCAAUGGGCGAAAGCCUGACGCAGCCAUGCCGCGUGAAUGAUGAAGGUCUUAGGAUUGUAAAAUUCUUUCACCGGGGACGAUAAUGACGGUACCCGGAGAAGAAGCCCCGGCUAACUUCGUGCCAGCAGCCGCGGUAAUACGAAGGGGGCUAGCGUUGCUCGGAAUUACUGGGCGUAAAGGGAGCGUAGGCGGACAUUUAAGUCAGGGGUGAAAUCCCGGGGCUCAACCUCGGAAUUGCCUUUGAUACUGGGUGUCUUGAGUAUGAGAGAGGUGUGUGGAACUCCGAGUGUAGAGGUGAAAUUCGUAGAUAUUCGGAAGAACACCAGUGGCGAAGGCGACACACUGGCUCAUUACUGACGCUGAGGCUCGAAAGCGUGGGGAGCAAACAGGAUUAGAUACCCUGGUAGUCCACGCCGUAACGAUGAUUGCUAGUUGUCGGGAUGCAUGC
rnacentral:rRNA from 1 species